CAAAGCAGGAGGGUAAUCGCGCUUUUCAAAAAGUGAGGAAAGUCCGUGCAUCUGAGGACAAAUCGCCGGAGAAAGUCCGGACGGCGUGAGCCGGUGGAAAGGGCCACAGAAAAUAUACAGCCUAAAAUAUUUGGGCAAUGGUGCAACGGUGAGGUAAGAGCUCACCGGCAGACCCGAGAGGGAAUGCGUCAAGGUAACCCCCGAUUGGAUGCAAGAUAAAAUUGAAGGUUAAGGCGGUCCGCCGACUUCAAAACAUAUCGCUAGAGGUCCGGAGUAAUCCGGACACCAGACAGAUGAUUACCGAGAAACAGAACACGGCUUAUUACCUGCUUUAAAUU
rnacentral:RNase_P_RNA from 1 species